rnacentral:tRNA from 1 species
UUCUAUUAUGGCAGAUUAGUGCGGUAGAUUUAAGAUCUAUACAUAAAGCGAAGCUUUUUUUAGA